rnacentral:lncRNA from 1 species
UCAUCCGCAAGCUGGAAACUGAUGGUUGAGAUAGGGCAAUGCUGCUUCUAGCGUUAUGGCUAAAUAGUGAUGGAUCAAUGCUUACCUCAUCAACAGCAGGUCCAUUGUUCAAAUCAAAGUCCCUACGGACAGUUACAUCACUAUUAAGAAUCCCAGACAAUGAUUUUAUAGGCUGCAUAGGGACAUCGAGUCUACGACUAAACCCAGUACACUGAUUACCAAAAUCAGCUGGCUCAUCAACUCUAUUCAAAUCAAGAUCAAGUCCCCCGGAGGACCGAAUGGAUGGAGAACCCACCAUUCCACAAGUUAAAUCACGAGUACUUGUAAGGUCCAGUGCAGAGUCUGUGCCCUUGGCAAAACUUCGGGAAGCUAGAUCCUGAAGCACUCUCUCAUCAGGUACAUUCAAAUCAAUAUCCAAAGGAGGACGACUUUGUUUCCUAGUACUAACAUCAGCAAUAGAGGUGUUGCUUGUACCAAGAGGGAUAUCCAAAAUCUUUCUGGGCUCAGCUGGCCGAAAUGCACUUGUGGCUGCUGAUCCCUUCCAACCAAGUGCCCCUUUGGUCCGCAAAAGGUCAUCUGGGGGAACAAAAGGCCCUUUAGCAGCAGCAGCAACAGUAAUUGUAGAAGGGACACUGCUAGCCACAGAAGAAAAAGGGAAAGGCAAUGAGCUAAAUUGGGCAGGAGCUGAACAUCCUGAUGCUGUUAAGUUAUUUGGAUCCCCAAAUUUUCCCUCAUCUGCAUUAAAGCCUUCAUUCAAGUCAAAUUCAACUUUUGCAUCUGUAUCUGUACCACCUGUAACAGGAGCAUCUCUAGUGGCUGAUGUCCCUUCCACUUCAUCUACCUCUUCGCCGGUCAAAUUAGACCCCCUUGGCCACAUAGGCUGCUCUGUUUCCAUUACAGUAGGUGAUACACAAGGAGAUGGUCCAGCACAUGGUUCAUUACCCUUAUGAUCUUCUAAAUUCUCCUCCACAUGCUCACCUUUCUGAGCAUUGACAGCUGAACCAACAACAAAUACAACUAAUUACCAAUUGAUGAAUGUAAACUAAAUUGGAAAAGAAAAAGGACUUGAAUUGAUGUGUACUUCAUAUUUAAUUAUGAGAACAAUAAGAGAAGCAUUACUUUCCCAUUCACCUGCAUUACUAGGAGUAUCACUCUCAACAUCCUUCUCAGACUUCACCUCAUCAACAUUUUCCAGAACCGUAUUUUUACCAAAACCAGGAGGCGAAGUUUCUGUCACUGUUCCAUUGAUGGAAUGUCCAACUACUGGUGACUUCUGAUGAGUCUGUGAACUUCUUUCCAAACCUUCAAGGACAUUUUUCUUCUUGUCAGCAUCAACUUCAACAGAAGGUACAGAUGAAGAUCCUAGAACUUCUUUCUCAACUUUUACAAAUGGAUCUAUGACCUUAUCUUCAUUAGCCACAGAAGAACACCCUUUUUGUUUAGUACCCAAACUGCUAUCACCAUCCACUCCACCUGCCUUUUUCUCCAGAUGCUCUUUGCAAUCUCCAAUAUCAGUAGUUUUCUCAGCAGUGCUUGCAGAGGGCAAAUUGAUUAAAGCGGUGGUUACAUUUUCCUUUAAUUUAUCAUUUUCAAGACAUGGGUCUGCAGUGUACAGAAUGCUUAAAGACGUUAAAUGUUCAUUCAGCUCUCUAGAUUUUUCUAGAGAGGAACCAAUCUUGUUGUCCGCAUUCUUAGCCCAUGAAUUACCACCAACUGCCUGCUUCAGAUGCUCAUCAUCGGCACCUUCAACAGACUGAUUUUGAUCUCGAACAACCUCAUCCCCAGACGAAGGUUUUAGUUUUGUAUCAUUGCCUGUGUCAGAGAGCACAACAAAAGGGGCCUUUCUUUGUGGAGAUUCUAUCAGUGAAGCUACAUCGACUCCAGUAGCCACACUAGCAAGCAGAUUCAUUCCAGCAUCAUCUCCAACAGGCAUGCACACAUUUGAUUCAGAGAACUUGACACAACUAUCAAUUAGAGCAUUUAUGGAGCUGAAAGAAGGCUCCAGCACUUUCCCUGAUUUAUGUUCAUUUCCAGAAGAUGAAGCAGUUUUCGUAACUUCAUUUGUUUUCCUAGCCCCUUCUCCAGUCCUACAGUUUUCUUCAUCGGGAACAGCUGCAGGUGAACCAUCUCCCUCAUCAAACCCUGUUAGCAUGUCUUUUAAGUCAUUGCUCUGCCAUGAUUCAGUAUUCACAUCAGUAGUAACAUUUGUCCGGUAAGUAUCAUUCUUCUCCUUCAAGUUACGAUCGAAUUGUUCCUGCGUCUCUAAAAGCACAGGAGAAGAAGCCCUGCUAUUCAUGACUGAGUGAUCUUCAAGAGAUCCUCCACUGGCAAUUUGUACUGGACUUCUACCUCGAUUUGGGAUCUUAACAAUGAACUUAUGACUAUUAGACUCAGCCAUAGGAGCAUCCACAGCCUUUUCACAUGUUAAACCAGACUGUGAUAUUUUUUCUGAUGCAAGAUUUCUGUUAAAAGAAGAAUUUUUGCCUGAUCCAGUUUCCCUUUGAACACCAGAUGACCCUGGGAAACCAUUAUUGGAUUUCCGGUGUCGGGAAGAAUUACCCGAGAUCUUAGAGACUGAUCCAGAACCAGCUGCAGAACUUCUUGCAUCCUCCUUUACAGAAAGUCCACCAGCCUUUGCAUGGUCACUAGAACAAGACUGACUAUUGUUGUGGGACUGACUCGAACUGCUGCUUUUCUCAUCCUUUGCUGUUGUUGGAGGAUCAGAGGUGCCAACAACAGCAGCAUUUCGUACUUGCACAUCUUUUAAAUUUGCACUGGCAGAAGCAGGCGAUAUUGCUGCCUUCAUAGAUCCCAGUGAUGAAGAAGCAGACUUGGUAGCAGUCUCUCCUUGAGCAAUCUUAACAGAACCAGUUUUAGAGGCAGAAACCUGUGUGACCAAAUUCUUCAUGGCAACCUCAGCUGAUCCAGAAUGCUUGUUUCCACUGUGAGAAACCUCCGAAAGUCGAGACCUUGCAGACCAGGGAACAGCUUGGUUUGAGCCACACUUGGCAUCCAUCUCAGCCUCAACUCUUUUUUUCCAUGUAUCAACUAAACUCCUUGCUUUCUUCUGUAUAUCUAUGUUCUUAUGAGUGCGCAAAUGAUUCACAGACUUGCCAAUGUUACACAUCUGUAGAGCUGUGAGAUUUACAGGUAACUUAUCAAGUGCUCGAAGUAAGGUUAAUAGAAAAUCAUCAACUGAUCUAUCAUCCUUGGAGCCACUACCAUCACCAGUCUUCCCUUUGUGGACUUCCUGGAGCCAUUCAUCAAAAACACGCAACCCUCUGAGCUGAACAAAAUGACUAAGACAGUCAAACUUGUCAGUAGCUGAUAUUACACUAGCAAGCAUUGACCGGCUCACCAAGUCUAUUUUCUUUUCAUUUCUCUCAGGCACCAUGAGAUGAAUCAAUUUCUCAACUGCUUCAUAAUCUUCUAGGCCCCCCUUUUCAGCCAUCUUUGCAAUCUCAAUUUUUAAAUUAAUUUCUCGUCUACCAUGACCAGAAUCCCCAUCAUCUAUUUUACUAGUGCAUUCCCGUUUGACAGGCUCAGAACCUUGAUCACCACGCUCCCUUUUCUUUCCCUUACCCUGAGAAGGAAAUGAAGCACUGUUCUGUACACUCUCUAAACUAGGUUUUAACUGUGAUGUAGAUGUCGGACCAUUUGGAGAACAUCCAUCUGGCUGAACUGUAGCUUGCAUUUCUAAACGUGUCUUAUAUAAUAGAUUAUCUACUUCCUCUUGAUGUUCCUGGAAAAGUAAGCAAUAUCAAUUGUGAAAGUUCAAAUUUGGAAUAGAUUAUAUACCUAAAAGAGAAUCUAUAACUCACAUUAAUAUAAUCUCGAUCAGUUAGCCACCAUAAACACUUGUUUGUAAUGUCAUAAACUCGCCGGCAAACAAGUGAGCAAAUCCCAGAUGGAAGUUCAACGUCUUUAGGAAGAAAUGCAACUUUACAUGGAUGGAGUAACGAAGCAGCAGGAAUCUCAUCCUUAUGAAAGGAAUAAAAGAUCUCGUUUGGCGCAGCUUCCAGCAGGAUGCCUUCGCCAAGCUUUACUUCAGCAGGUCGAUAAAGCCAAUUCACGCCCAACUUUAACUUAUUUUCUUUGCUUGCAGUCAGACACCGAAUUAUUCCAAUGAAAGGUGGAGAAUCUAGAGCUGGUUUGAAAAGAGCACAGUCACCAAUGCUGAUAUUGCGCCCAUCCUAUAAGGGGGAGAGCAGGUAUGCAAACUUCACCAGUGAGAAUAUAUAUAUAAUCAAUUUGGAUAAAAUAAAUAAAAAGGGAGAAGAAGAGGAAGAAGAAGAAGCUUGAUCAACAACUCAAACUUGCAUUAAUCAGUUACUUCUAAAAACUAUCAACUUAGCUUCUUAGACUGAGCAACGUAACAGCAGUACAAGUGGCAACUCGAUACAGACAAAACCAACACAAAUGGCAACUAGUAAUUGCUUAAACAUUUAGAUAUGAUGAUGAUUCCAAGAAUCCAUCUUUAUUAGAUAAGAAGAAAUUCUAAAUGCGUAAGUGCAGAAAAAAGAUGCAUAUAAUGACAAUUCAAGCCUAAUUCGUAAAUCAACUAUAAUUCUAUAUGAGAAAAUUCCACAAGACUUCAACACUAGCAAGAACAAGGUUCAUAUGCGUUCAAAACUUGCUAUACUCAUAUCAGGGAAACCAUUAUACAUCUAGACUGAACGAAAACUUAACAAUUCGCAUGCUGAAAAUAUGUUGUUUAUAUCACGCAGUCCUCUUUAAAGCCUUGGAUAUGUCUUAGGUACUGCUUCAACAAACAUCAUUAUCAUAUAAAUAUGACUCCGUUGAAGAUGUCCAAUACAUUUCUCUGGACUAAUUUUGACAUUUUAUCAGAGAAAACAUCCAGCAAAACAAAAAUCAUGUCUGUUCUCACUCAUAUACAAGUAUGUUAAAACCUGGUUUCAAAUGGGAAGACCAAUACACUUGUGUUAUCUAGGACAACUAUCUUUUUCCAUAUAAUAGAACAGGAUGCAUUACAGGAAACUCGCAAGACUUGCCAUAUACAGAAAGACCUUAGAAGUCAGAAGCAAAUAUUGCAUUUACCACAUCCCAGGUCAACCAUUGGAGCAAUAACUCCCCAAAAAAUGUAUCCUUAUUUUUCAAGCUCUUCCAAAAUUGGAAUAAUUUUCCAAUACAAUUAUAAAUCAUAAUGCUGGUGAUUACUCAUUAAUCAUCAUUACUACCGAAAGUUAGCGAAUUCCUAAUAUUCAGGUUCAUUUACAUCAAUCUGUCUAAAAUCCAAAUAUUUCUAUCGUGUCCAAAACACCUUCUACCUGGAAUUAAUAUUAGCUUGGACAAAGAAAACCCACCCCAUGGCAUGCUGAACGACUAUAGCUCCAUGUCCACAAUUAAAAGUUUCAGAUAAGUUAGCAGGAUAUUUCAGCUGUAGAAUAGCUUCUAGAGGAGAAAACGAAAAAGAAGUUAUUGUUAUUUUAGGACACUAUUCCAUCCGAGGAGAGACGCCCUUCCCUAUCUUACCCAACUUAUUAUGUGGUACAAUCAUUCUUCACAGCUGACAAAAAUCAAGCCUAACAAAAAUGUCUUGCACAUACACCUCAGUAAAACAAUCAACCCAAAACAUAAAAACUUAAAUGCCUUCAUAUGAGUCAGUUAAAAAUUCGAAAAAUGUCCAAAACAAUUCAGACAACUGACUAGAUUUUACUCCAAACGAGCUCAACAAAUCAUCCACAAAGUUCAAACCAAGCCAACAAAACUGACGAAAUUUGCGACUAUUUCAACACUUCCCCUCAUCAAUAAAGACACCAUCUCAAAAUUCUCAAGCAAAAUCGAACCUCUUCAUUUACCAAAAUCGAUAUGAUAAAGCACCUCUCACCAAAUCACCUGAUAAAACAAAUCAACAACCGAACAAAAAGGAAAACCUAGAACAUAAAGAAAAAUCUAAUCCAAUCAAAUCAAAUUAAGUGAAAUUGAUUUAGAAAGUUAUACCUUUGAAAAUGAAUUAACGGUAGAGGAAGAAGAAAAAGAGAGCGAAGCAACACCAUCACCACUCAGAACCUCCGUUGCACGUGUAGGGACUGUCCACAUCAGCCGUGCCUUUUUCCUCUCCUCAUCUCCUCCCCGCCCAUGCAUAGCCUUGCAUUUUUCCCUUCGAGUACCAUCAAUCCGCCCUCCUAAUGUCUAUCUUUCUUUUUCCCCUCUUGAAUUCCAGCUCCCCUUAUUUCACCAACUCAAGCCCUAGAUCACCAACCCCUACCUCUGUCAGAAAUCUCCCCUUAAACAAACCCUAAUUUCCCCAAUCACAAAUCCAAAAACCUAAAUCCCUUCGACCGUGACUCUUCCGUUACCCAAUCUAAUUCAACCUUCUGCAUUAGAUUUCUUAAGCCGCCUUUCGAUCUACAUAAGAAAAUAAAAAAAGAGAAGUUAAAAUUUAAAAGGAAGCAAAAACUUGCUCUAUUUCUAGAGAGAGAGACAUAGAGAGGGACGGCAAAAGAAAAGGUGCACUUCGAUACAUGGUAGGGCAGAGCGGGCAAUGGGUUUGGGCAGAUCGGAUAGUUCGGGCGAGUUUUUAGCAAUAGCAAGAUAAAGUCACGGAUAAGCAAUGAUUUAAAAAUCGGUUCAUUAGUUAAGUAGUUUAUACUUGGUUCGGUUCAUUUCAAAUUAUUUUAUAAAUUAUUAGGAAGCCCAGUUCAAACACUUUUAAGCUCGUAUUAAAAUUCUGCAAGCCCAAACAUUACCCUUUAUGCCUUUACUAAGAAUUUUGAAUACCUUUUUCAGAUAAAUUGACAUACAAACUUCUUUUUACUUUGGGUUUUUCUUUUCCUUGCAUUACUCUCAAAACUUAGUACAUUUUCUCAGUUUAUUUAUAAAUUAAAAUAAAAUUUUAUCACGCCAUUAUCUAAAUUUUAUUUCCAUAAAAAAAUUAUUUAAAUCUUAUUUUAAAAUUUCUUUUACAAUUUUUUUUCUUUUCAAUUUUAGAAAAAAUUUCAUAUAAUUACAUGUAACAAUCUUGGAGUACCACAUAAUCAUACCUUAAUAGAAUCCAAGUUUAAGGACUAAAUUGAGAAAAACUAUCAAGUUCUAAGACUAAUGUAGAAAAAAAACACAAGGACCAAGUUGGGAAAAGUUGCCAAGUUUAAAGACUAAAUGUUGUUUUAUCCCUAUCUUAUUUAUAUUGGGGCAAACUACAUUUGUAGUCACCUAACUAUUAGUAAGUUUCUUUUUUGGUCACUCAAUUGUGAAAAGUUAUAAAAUGAUCAUCCAACUAUUUAAUUUUUCUUUUCUUUUUUGGUCACCGACCUUAAUUUGCUUACGAAAAGAUGAUGCGGCAGCUUUUAAAAUUAGCAUAAUAGCAGCUUCAACCCUAAAUACUUAUAAAUUGUGUCAAUUUAGUCUUGAUUAUAAAAAUUUUAACUCACAUCGUUUACACGUUGUCUUAUCCAAUCUUUUUUUUAAAAAUUGCUUUUCUUUUUUACCCUUUCACUUAAAAAACUAAAAAAAAAUCUAUUAACUAUAUUUGAUAAAAAGAAUAUACCAAAAAUAGAAACACCCGAAAAUUUAAUAUAAUAAUUUUCAUAUUUUCUCAUUCUUUUAAAAUUAACUAUUGAUGUCAUAAAUAAAAAUUAAACUGCAAAAAAAAAGAGACCAAAUUAUACAACGUGUAAAUGUUGAGGGUUAAAUUUGUUACUAUGCCAAUUUUAAAAGUUGUCAAGUUAUAUUUCCAUUAGUAAUUUAAUGACUAGUGUUCAAAAAAUAAAAUUUUGAAUAGUUGGGUGACUGAAAAAGAAAAAGUUGAAUAAUUUGGUGACCAUUUGUAACAUUUCAUAAUUGGAUGUCCAAAAAAAAACUAAUAGUUGGGUGACUACCAAUGUAGUUUACCCUUUAUGUUUCAAACUUUUUACUUUUUCAAAGACUAAAGUAUUGUUUAAUAAACAGAAAAACUAAAUGUUGAAUUUUCAUUAUUAAAUUUUAUAGUACUAUUUUUUUUUGGUACGUAGAAAGAUUUUAGUGAGACACAUUAUAUCACACAAUUUAUUUCCUUCAAGUUAUAAUAGCAACUCCAUAUGAGAUGUGAUUGGGAUGGAUAGUUCUUGUAAUUUUAUUUUGUGAACCCCAAUUAUAUUUUGUGUUGUCAUUUCCUUUAACCAUUCAAAAUCUUAGCUCUCUGAAUGAAUUAAUAAUAUUUGCUUUCAUUCCUUUAAACAUAACAUCGUUUCUAUAUAUCCAGAUAUUCCAUAAGAUGCAUAUCAUCAUAUACUGGAUAUCCUCAAAUAUUAGACUGCCCUAAUAAUCAUAUUAAGAAUUUGUGGGGUUUUUUACACAAAUAGGGUGAAAAAAAAAUUUACUGAAAUAGAGUGUCAGAAAAAAUAUUUACCAAAAUGGGUUACUUUUUUCAUUAGAGCCUAUUAGAUAGGCGCCAAUGAAUAAAAAAUAAUAUUUUUUUAAUAAAAUAUAAUUUUAUAUUUUUUUAAUAUUUUUUUAAAAAAUACGGGUCAAAGGGUCGGAUUAGGUCGGGUGGCGCCUAUCAGGUAGGCGCCAAUGAAGGUGCCUGAUAGAGAGGCGCCAAUGAAUGUGCCUGAUAGAGAGGCGCCAAUGGUGGCCUUCUGCCCACCGCUGCAUCGUUGCAUGCUGUUGCAGGUGUUGUCCCUUCAUGCAUGUUUUUUUUUUGCCUAUAAGUAAAUGUAAAUGGUCCCAACAUGCCACACGGUAGAGAAAAAAAAAAGAGAGAGAAAGGAGAAGAAGAGAAGGAGAAGAAGAAGAAGAAGAGAAGAAGAAGAAGAAGAAGAAAAAAAGGUAAUGUAUUUUUUUAGUAAAUAAUUUUGUUUAUAAUUUAAAAAGUUUAUAGUUUGUGAAUUUUUAGAAGAUAUUUUAGAAGAUAUUGUGAAUUUUUUGUUAUUAAUUAUUAAUUAUAAAAUAUCUAUAUUUAGUGUUUAUAGUUUAGAUUAGAAUUUUGUAUGAAUAUUCUAACUUUUUUGUAUGAAUAUUGUAAUUUUUUUUAUGAAUAUUGUAAUGUUGUCUGAAUAUUGUAAUUAUUUUAUAAUUAAAUUUGUAUUUAUAGUUUUGGAUUAGUAAUUUGUAUGAAUAUUGUAAUUUUUUGUAUGAAUAUUGUAAUUUUUUUGUAUGAAUAUUGUAAUAUUAUAGUUUUGUAUGAAUAUUGUAUUAUUGUAAUUUUGUAUGAAUAUUGUAAUAUUAUAAUUUUGUAUGAAUAUUGCAAUUUUUUUGUAUGAAUAUUGUAAUUUUGUAAUUUUGUAUGAAUAUUGUAAUGUCGGGAUAUAUUGUAAUAUUGUAAUUUUUUGUAUGAAUAUUGUAAUUAUUUUAUAAUUAAAUUUUUAGUAACUUGGGAUUAUGUUAUAAAUUUUUGUGUUUGUAAUUAUUUAAAAUUUAAUUUAUUAGUAAUUUAGGAUUAAGCUAUAAGUUGUUGUGUUUAGUUUAGUAUUUGGUGAGUUUAACAUAUAAAGUUUAUAAAAAAAAAUUCAAAAUCAUUUCAUUAAAAGUUUAAUUAUAAAAAAAUUAAAAAUUAUUUUAUUAAAAGCUUAACUAUAACUGACUGAUUAAUCAUAUAGUUGNNNNNNNNNNNNNNNNNNNNNNNNNNNNNNNNNNNNNNNNNNNNNNNNNNNNNNNNNNNNNNNNNNNNNNNNNNNNNNNNNNNNNNNNNNNNNNNNNNNNUUUUUAUAUAAUGUAACUUUUAUAUAAUUAAAUUUUAUUUGAUUUUGUAUUUAUUUAACAGUAAUUAUUGAUUUUUUGAAACAAAUUAACUGAAUUCAUUUUUUUUAUUGCAGAUUUGCAGGAAAUUAAUAAUAAUAAUCACAUAUCAAGUACUAUUAAUGAGAUGGUAAUAAAAUUUAUUUUUGAUAUUCAUGUUAUUUGUUGAAUUAAAUUAUAUUGUAUUAACUAUUUUGCUAAUUUAAUAAUGUCAGGGUCCGUACCGCGCAUUGAGAGGCCGUGUUAAUAGUGUAGGGUUUCAGCCAGAUGAACGCCUAAUACCAUACUUAGAGUUAGCCGGGUUCGGAUCAGCGGCAUUGAUUCGGACUUUUGAUCUGCGAUACGACUUGAUUUCCGCUUUAGUCGAGCGAUGGCGUUCGGAGACCCACACAUUUCAUUUGCCGUGCAGAGAGUGUACCGUCACUCUAGAGGAUGUUGCAGUACAGCUCGAGCUUCCCAUAGACGGGAAUGCGGUCACGGGCGUAAGUUCAAUCUCUAGGCCGGCUACCCUUUGAAAUGAAUUACUUGGACGCUCGCCAAGUCAGGGAAAAUUUACCAGUUUGAGAUUUUCAUGGUUACAUGCCAAUUUUGAGCAUUUGCCAAGUACUGCUAAUGAAUGGAAGGUGAUGCAGGCUGUUCGAGCUUACAUUAUGCACCUUAUAAGGGGUGUACUCAUGCCGGAUGCAAACGACAGUAAGGUCCACUUGAUGUACUUACCCUUAUUAUCCAAUUUACAUAACAUUCGUUCAUACAGCUGGGGGUCCGCAGUUUUAGCCAUGCUGUAUUGCGAACUUUGUCGGACAACAGAUCCUUCUGCGGUUGACAUAGGCGGAUGCCUCAUACUGCUGCAGUCGUGGGCACUUUACCGGAUGCCAUUCUUGGCAUCCAUUAGUCAUCAAUCAUAUGUAUUUCCACUCGUUAAUAGGUGAUGAAUUUUUACUCAUUAUAAUAAUUAGUUGACCUUUUUUAUAUUAUAUUAUUCUAACAACUUGUUUUCGUAGGUGGAGUACUAAUCCGGGUAUCGGGAGGUCACCGACGGUUCCUAUAUAUCGUCUAAUGAUUGAGAAUCAUGCUGGAGAGGGGGUAAGUUUUUCGAAUAUAAACUUAAUUUUAUUAUUUUAUCUCACUCGACCCACGUUAAUAUAACAACGUUAUUAACUGUACAGUUCAUUUGGAUGCCGUAUUCUGCUCCAAAAAUUAUGGUAGUUAUGCAAUCAUCUACCCAUAUCCACUCAAACCUAUGGUGCAUUAGCGCACCCAUUAUCAAUUUUAACGUAGUGGAGUGGUAUCAUGAAAAUCGAGUACUCCGGCAGUUCGGUUGCAUACAGUAUAUCUCGACACUGCCUGUACAAUUGUGGGAGAUCCAUGGGAUGAGCAAGAGGGGGAGGUAUGGAGAUAAUUGGGGAGAAGUGCACGAAGAAUAUAUUACGGUAUGGAACAACCGGUUAGGGAGGGUACCUCAGAUGGAUCGUGCUCCGGAUUUGCAGCCCUCGUUAGAGUACAUACAGUGGUACUGUGAGACAGGGAAACCAUUUCUGUUUGGUGGGCGGUCAAUUGUAGUCCCUCCGCAUACGACACGAAUUACGCAACCCCUUCCAGAUCUGCAUCAUGCACCAGAGCCAGAGCCUGAGCCAGAGCUAGAGCCAGAGACAGAACUAUAUUCUAGGGAUAGUUCUUAUCAUCCAGAAUUAGGGGGCGAUGACUAUUUCGCGGCCUUGUAUCCACCUCAGUACUCCGCUCCUUCCGGCCAAUAUCCAUCGUCGUACUCCUCUCCUCCCGGAUCAAGUUCAUCGAUGGCAUUCGAGACAUAUGAUUAUUCAUCUAUGUUUCACACACCCCAACAUAUUGUUGAGAAGAAUGUUGAUAACCGUAAUCGCCCACAACGUGAGCGUCAAGCUCCACAAAAAUAUACCCCUAGAACCACACCAUCAAACCAUCAAUUUUAGGGGUUUUUGUAAUAAACAACCUCAUAUUUAUGUAAUGAUAGUUCUUAUGUAAAUAAAAUUAUAAUGGUUUAAAAAUGUAAAUAAAAUUAUAAUGUUUUUUAUUUUAUUUUACAAUUUCAAAUUGCUCCAUAACUGCAACAAAUUGUAGACAAUUUUGUGAUUCAAACAAUCUUUAUGUAAUGAAGUACAUAUCAAUUUCUACACGAUUGAGACGAUUGUCCAAUAUGGUAGUUUCGGAGAGGGUAUUUACUCUGAUUAUGACUGGGUAAUCUGCAUACGCCACACAAAUUUCCGUCAGAUUUCUCCCUAAUGUCCAUUUCGUUAUGGAUUCUGGAUGAUUACGGACGACCUUUCAGGUUUCUACGCAACCUUAUGUCUGGGACUAGCUCGAAGGUCGUCGGAGGUACCUCCCAAGUAGAUAGGUUAGGAAGCACGGGGAACUCGUUUUCCUAUACAUGCAACGUGCAUUCGAUGGUGUACACUUCAUCGAUAAAUUGUUCUACAUUGAGCCCAACUUUAGCACAAGCUGCCACGACGUGUGCACAUGGACAAUGAAGUGUUUGAAAGCUCCUGCAAUCGCAUCGUCUAUUUAAGAGAUCAACUCCGUAGGACCUAGGUGGUAUACUGGGUCGACAACCGAUGGUCUCUGUAACUCGAAACGUUUCAUUAUGUCGUGAAUAUACUUCUACUGUCAUCGACCUUGCCAUUCGACGGUUUACAACCAUUACAUCCCUAAUGCCUUCGACAAAGACAUGUCCCGCCUUCAUCUGGUUCACUUGUUGCUGACCCAUUCUUGGCAUCAAGGUAGCCAACCUGUAAAACGUUACCGAGAAGACAGAUGAAAUUGGAAGAUGUCGUGUUUUUAAUAACACNNNNNNNNNNNNNNNNNNNNNNNNNNNNNNNNNNNNNNNNNNNNNNNNNNNNNNNNNNNNNNNNNNNNNNNNNNNNNNNNNNNNNNNNNNNNNNNNNNNNGUCAUUUGACCAUAACGAAAGCCCUCGUCAAAACAUUGAGCCCAUUGGCACGGCUCCAUGGUACCCAGCCACUGCCGGAAAGAUGUGUUGGUUUGACCCUCCAUGUCACUCCUAAGCCGGGUCAUUCUUUGGCGAAAAAUGUGUGGCUGUAGCUCGUACGCUGCAUAUGUAUUAAAAAAUUUAAGUUACAGUAUUGCUCUAAAACAUUAAAACUUAAAUUUAAAAGAUAAGGUAAUUCUUUACCCAUUCUCACAACUUGUCUCUUCCAGUCUGCAUUCUUAUAAUCUCACUGGAAGUUAGCCGUGAUGUGCCGGAUGCAGUAAACAGAUCUCCAUGGUACACCAGAACGCCUAAUGGCUGCAAUUAAUCCUUUACCUCUAUCGGAAAUGAUGCAAAUAUUAUCAUUGCUAAUAACAUACCUCCACAUGUUGGUAAGAAAGAACUCCUACGAUUCCAUGUUCUCCUUAUCGACGAUGGCAAAUGCUAUCGGGAGUACGUUCCUGUUGCCGUCUUGAGCAACCGUAAGAAGUAAGAUCUGUGUGUAUUUUCCAUAUAGUCAGGUUCCAUCUACUUGCACAAAUGGUUUGCAGUGGGGAAAUGCGCGCACACAUUGAUCAAAAGUCCAGAACAUCCGAUGGAAUUUUUUUUCUCGAUUGUAGUUGGUUAUUUAGCCCGUAAUAAGAUCGUGUCUACAUCUCAAUUACAGUCCCCGGUACGUGUUCCCUCAUGGCGGCUAUCCAUCCCUGUAAUUUAUUGUACGAUGCAUUGAAAUCUCCGUACAAUUGCUCCAUUGCCAUCUGUUUAGCUAUCCAUGCCUUCCGGUAUGAUACUCGAUACUGGAAUCGUGCUUGUAUUUCAGCAAUCAGUACCGAAACUUUAAUGGUCGGCAUGUCUUUCACCAUUGGCAUGAUGCAUGUACAGAUAGUUUUGGAGUCAAGUUUUCGAUGAUCUUCUGUCAUACGUGUUGAAGUGCAUGUGUGGGGCCCAACAAAUUUUCGUAUCUCCCACAUCUGCGACUUCUGCAUAAAUGCAGCUCAUAUCCGCCAAUUGCAGCCUUCUGCCGACCUCCAACACUCUCCAAUAUAUAAUGUUGGUUUAGACUCGAUGACUUUGUAAUCUACUGAUAUAUUCAUGUUAUACCGCUUAAUGGCAAACAUGCAUUCUUCUUUACUUUCAAAUCUCUGGCCCACGCAUAACUCCUCUGCAUCAGAAUAUACGCUCAUUCGGUUAGCAUGUGGUAUUUCAGGGUACUCCGGAAACUCAGCUACCCGUGCCGCAUCGGGGUUUAUCCGAGACACGUGUGCCCCAGGAUUAUUGUGUAUCACAAUACGACGAAUUUGGUUUCCGACUGAAGACGCAUUAACGUUUCCAUCCUCAUUCACGCCUUCAUCGUCAAUAUCAUCCGGGACCUCGUCUGCGUCGGGAUCACUCUUACUAUCCACUUUGUAAUCAACAGGAUCACUACUAUAGUAUACAUCAUCACUAACCACAUCAGUCUCGGCUGCAGCAUUAAGAUCAAUAUUUAUCCCAUGUAUAGUUGAUUGACUAUCAACAUACGAUACCGGAACCACCAUACACGGUGCUUCAACUCCAUCUUCUUCACCUAAUGGAGUGGGAUCUUCAGUUGCCUCUACACUGGCUAACUUUGCAAAUAACUGAAUCAGUGCAUUUUUGUUACUCUGAGUCUUACAAUAGAGAGCGACCAUUGUCUCCACGUUUUCAUCGUCUACAAGUUUCAUUUCAGUAAAUUUUAUUGGAUCUGUUGAAACUGGAAACUUGUAGAAAACUUUUGAUAUCCUUCUCCCACAACGUCUAUAAAUUAUUUCACUAAUUUUUUCCUUCAUAUCAUCAAACGAGAAAUUUCUAUCAAAUCUCAUUGCUACUUGUUUGCGACAUUCAAAUAUACAUCCCACAGUUGUUGUCAAAAUUUCUCCAUCGAAAUAAACGCAUACAAAAAACCGAUUCUCCAUUUUCAAUACUAGAUCUGUUAAAAAGAAUUUCAAAUUUCUUAAAACAGUUUCAAAAUGUAAACAAAUUACAUAAAAAUUUUAAUGCAAAAUUUUUCAUUCAGAAGCUAACAAAAUUAAUAACCUGACAAAAUAACUUUCAAAUAAUAAAAUUACUAACAAGACUCUACAUUCUAUUUAAAAAGAAAUAAACCAAAAUACCUUAUUUUUUUCUUCUUUUCCUUCCUUCUUUUCUUCUGCUUCCUUCCUUAUUUCUUCCGUUUCUGUAGUAAAAUUUAUGUCUGUAUUGGGGGUAUUUAUAGAGAAAAAUCAGAGCAUUGAAGCCUCUCAGUAUGGCACCAAUAAUGGCUCCUCCCAGAUAGGCACCACCAUUGGCGCCUCUGAGAUAGGCGUCAAUACUAUGUAUUAUACGGGUUAUAUAUUGACCCGGAAAAAUAUAAAAUUAUAUUUUAUUCAAAAAAAAAAUUAUUAUUUUUUAUUCAUUGGCGCCUAUCUAAUAGGCUCCAAUGAAAAAGUAACCUAUUUUAGUAAAUUCUUUUUCUGACACCCUAUUUCAAUAUUUUUUUUAUAAUAUUUGUGUAAAAAACCCAGAAUUUGUGUCAAUGCCUUCUCCUUCUAAUAAUUAUAUUCAAAAUGAAACUCCUGGUAGUUCAAAGUUUUAGUUCCAUUGAUUUAAUUCAUAAGCUUGAUCCCAACCAGAUUGUCCUAGCCAAAUCAUAAAACAAAAAAGAUGCUCAUACGAUUCAUUUUGUUGUCUACACAAUCUGCACGUUAUGUCCAAUCCAUUGAUUCUAUUUCCUAAAUCCUCCUUGCAAAGUAGUACUUUCACACAAAUUUUUCAUAAAAAAAAGAAUAAUCUUAUAAGGAUUUUUCAACUUCCUAGUGAUUUUCAAUUUGUUGUUGCCCACUCCUAUAUUGUAUCAUGCCUUUUUUUUUGUCAUUUCAUUCUUGACUAGAUAUUUAUAUCUUGAUUUUACCGAAUAUUCUCCAUUGUUAUUCAGAGCCCACACCCUCCUAUCUGAAACUCCAAAAGUUGAUAAAUAUCUUGAUCUAAGCUUGUUUAUUGUCUCUUGAUCAGAUAACCUAGCUAAUUUAAUUUCAUCCCAUUCCCUUCCUCUAUUUGUUACCAGAUUUGUCAAUGUAACACACUCGCUUGAACUAUUGCUUACACCACCCUUAUUUUACUGUAUACGUCCAUUUAAAAUGACCAGGUCAUUACCAUUCCUUAUUUGCCAAUCCAUCCUUUGUUUACAUAAAUCUCUUCCAUUUAGAAUGCUUUUCCAUACCCACGAGUCAGAGCUUUUUCUUGUAAAUCAGCAAUAUUUUUUAACAAUUGCGUUUUGAACUAGCUAGUUAUCUGCAUUGUAAAUUCGCCACACUUGUGUGAUUAUCGGUGCUUGAUUCAUUAAUCUCGUUUUAGGGAUUCUGAAGCCCCCUUUCAAUUUUGGGUUGCAUGCCAAACCCCGAUUAUCAUAUGAAUUCAUGUUUUACCCACUCCAUCAUUCCAAUAAAAGUUUCUAAUGAUUUUGUCUAUCUAGUUGCAAACUUUAACUGGAGUUUCAAAACAUGAUAGAUAAUAUAGGGGUAAAUUACUGAGCAUGGAUUUAAUGAGGGUGACCUUACCUCUUGUUGAUAAAAGAUUCGCCUUCCAGCUUUGCAGUUUGCUUUGUAAUCUAUCCAUAACCGAUUGGAAAAAACCCACUAUUGAUUUGAAUUGUCCGGUGGGAAGCCCAAAUACUUGCUGGGAUGAUGACCAAUUACUCCAAGAUUUUGAUGGAAAAGUUCCAAAAAUCUCAGAUGAAAAUUCCUGCUUACCAUUAUAUAUGAUUUCUCAUAAUUGACGGCACGGCAUGCCACGUUAGCCUAUUGUCAUGUGGCAGUUUUUGGUGGCUUCUAUCUAUCAUGUUAGUGUGGUUAAUUGUUAAACUAGUCAAGUUAAUUAUUUUUUUUUGGAAUCAUUGAGGGCUCAAGUGUGUAGACUUUUUUCAUAAAAGCUUAAUUGAUUUCAUUUUUUAUAGCUUUUUUGAUCCUCAAGUCUAAUUUUAAAUAGUUUACACAUUCUGAAUGUAAAUUAAGAUUAUUCACACGCACAUAGACCUGAUAUGGGUUGGGCCACUCGACCUGGCCCGAAGGCCCAUUCAAAAUGUGAGAGGGUUUGAGCAAAAAUAUAAGCCCGAAAAAUAGGCUUGGACAAAAAAAUAAGGCCCGUUUAAAAAACGGGUCGGGCCUCGAGUAAGACAUUUUUGUCCUGGCCCGGCCCGAAUUUACUAAAGGACAAAAAAUCUGCUCUCUUUUUUUUGAAUGUUAUUUUCUUGUUGUUUUCUCCCUAUUUUGCUACUAUUUUACUAUUAUGUUGCUACUAUUUUUGUUGGUAUUGUUUGGAUAUUGUAUAAAACUUAUUUUAUUAUUAAUUUUGUUAUUAUUUUAAAGGCAUUUGUUAAUUUUGUUAUUAUUUUAGAAGAAUUUGCUUGUUAAGUUGCAUUUAUCUUAGUGUUAUUUAAGUCUACAUAUUUUUUAAAAUUUAUUUUCAAUUUGUUGGGAAAUAUUUAUUUUGAUAUUUUUAGUAUUUUUGAUGUAAUAUAUAUAUUUAAAAAUCAUAUAAAAAUAAUAUAAAAAAUUAAUACGGGUGGGCCGGGUCAGACUUGGGCAAAAUUUUAGGCCCAUUUUUCAAGCUGGGCAGAGCUAAGGCCUAGUAAAUGGGCCUGAAUUUUUAGUUGAGCCGGACCCGAACCCGACCCGACCUAUGAGCACCUCUAACGCACAUCACCUUUCAUUGUGUCUCUUAUCAUUUACUUUCGUUUCUUGAUGGUUUCAAUACGAGAGAAGAUUAAGAAAAACAAAUGUGUAGUUAUAGAAAUUUUGGUUUGAUGGAUUUUAACAAUUUAACCUUCCUAAUUCUCAAAAUUUAACUAGUUUUUAUCAAUUUUCACAAAUUCCUUUUUUUUUGGUUAUAUAUGUCAUCUUUGUUAAAAACAACGUUGAUAAUGGCAAUAUAGAACGAUCUCAAAGCAAAAUAAGAGAAAAAUAAAAAACACAGAUUUUACGUGAAAACUCUCUCGGGAAAAAAAUCAUGGGUAGAGGAGGAAAAAUUUACUAAUAUUUCGCAAGAGGAGUUGCGACUACAUCCAUUUAAAGGUUGAAAAACCUUAUUCUAAUCAAUGUCAAAUAGACGAAGUGUAAUUCUAUACGGAUUCUACUUAUGCAUAUCGACCCUCGGCCUUAAGCCCUCCACAGAUCCCCUAGUUUUACCACUGUAUUUUCUUUAACAGGGAUUUGGGUCACACAACUCUAACAAUAUUGAACUACCAAACAAACAAUUUCUAAUUUAAGUUUCCAUAUAAUGGGAAAUAAGAUCAUGCUUGUAGGAUUCUGAAAUGGGAUUGGACUAGAUAUGAAUUUGAAAAAACAUUGAGUAGCAUGUGUGUUGUUGAAGUUUUACAAAUUUAUUAAACUAAACAUUAAUUUUUGGUAGCCAAGUUUUACAAAUUUUUUAAUAUGAUACAUGUGUUAUUUUUUGGUCCAAUUUGAUAUAUAUACAUAUUUGACAAGUUAUAUAUUUUGGUACCUAAAGGUAAUGAUGUUAACUUAUUAGUGUUUAAUUUAAGUUUUAGAGUUAAUUUGAUGAAAGUUAAUUGUCAAUAUUAGUAGGUUUGUAUUUUUCAUGAUCUUGUUAAUAUAAUAAAUUUAGUGUUAAUUGUGAAUUUAUUUAAUUUUUCAUUUGAUUUGUCAAAUACAAUCUAAUGGAUGAAAUUUAAUUCGGAUUUAGGGUAAGUUUGAUGAAAGUUAAUUAUUAAUACUAUUACUAUCUAAUUUUGAAUUUUUAUCGAAUUAACUUUAAAACCUGAAUCAAAGACUAUUAACUUCAAGUGCUAAAAAAUAUAAUUUUUAUCAAUAAAAAAAAAACACAGAUACUAGAAAAAAGAGGUAAAACUCAGUGAAGCAUUAAUUUGUUUAUUUGUGAUACUUUGAAGAGGAAAAUUGUUUUGUGCUUGAGAAAAUCUUAAAUUCCCGAAGGCAAUGAAUGUAUGAUGUCUAAAAUUGGUAUUUGAAAAACUUUUUAAUAGGCAUGUAUCUUAAUAAAUGUCAAGCAUCCUUAAUUUACAUGAAUCAUAUACGUAUAAUACGGAUCAGUUCAGCUAGUGCUGGUGUUGAUCCCUGUCCCCACUCCAAUUAUUACCAAACUGUACCAAAAUAUAUAAAAUCCAAUACAAAUCCAACUGAAUUGAUUUAAAAUUUUAAGUUUGAAAUGUGUUAAAAGCAUCGCAUUUCCGCCUCACUUCUCCUUGGUUUCCAGUCUUAAUCCCAGAGAGGCUAAGCUUUUCGAUUGCUCGAGCAAAAUCAUUGGAAAAUGCAGUCUGGUUGAAAGCAUAUAAAUCCACGAAAUGGUUGGUUCUGGGGUGUCUCAAUAGCCCAUUAUCCGAUUCCAAUAGCCCCAUCCCUCUCUUCAAGUUCUGGUAAUACAUGUUAUCAAACUUUGAUGGAGUCAUGGGAUCAUUAAAAGCUGCCAUAUCACUAUCAUUCUUAUAAUUUGCACACAAUGUCUUUAGAGCCGCAGAAAACUUUGGAUGAUAACUAGGAUCAGUUGGGGUACUUCUGCUGUAGCCGAAAAGCCUGUAAGCGAACUCUUUGCAAUGAGAGAACCCGAUGGUGUGGGCACCAGAAAGGGCAACCAUUUCUCCAACUGUGAAAUUCUUGGAUUCAAACAUCCUGAUGAUCUCAUCCAUGGUCGUAUUGGCCCGCGGUAUGUUGCCUUCGACGGAAGAGAUAUUCGACUCCAAGCUGUCCUUGCGGCCUAGCAUAACAGUAUAGACGGGUCCGCCAGCCAUGGAGACAAAGUUGCGUGUGGCAAGGGCGAGAAUGUCAGCGCAUGAGACAAUGCCAGGGCAAGACAGCUCCAGAGCUGUCUUUGCGCGUACAAUGACAUCAAAAGCAUCCCCUGGAAGAGCCAGGUUGAUGUCUGCGUCACGCUCGGCCUUGGUGAAGGGAUUGGAGGAGAUAAGGACCGAAGCAUCACAGCCUCCAACCAUACAGUCGUGAAAGAAGAGACGAAGGGUACCUGCGGCGGCGGCGGGGACGCUGAUGUACUUGCUGGUCACCGUUUCUCGAAUGAUAUUCUCCAAGUGUGGGCAUGAGUUCUUGUAAUAAUCAGUGGUGAGGUUGGAUUCCGAGGAAGGGAUGGAGAGGAAGAGGAGAAUGAGGAAAAGGGAAGAAGGAGAAACCAUGGCGACCAUCGAGGCUUUGUUUGUUGUUUCUGGAUUCAAGUUCCAGAAGGGUUUGAAGGGAAGAAAAUUUAUGUUUUGGCUUGCUUCAUUUGUCAUCCCCCUAUUUUAUACGUAUGUUUGCAUGCUAAAUUUUGGCUGAUUGAUUGUGUGCACAACACGUGGCAGUGCUAAUAUUAUAAUAUUAGAAGAAUUUCUAGUAUUUUGUUGAUCUCUAUUCAAACUAAUUUCUAGUAAUUUGUUAGAUGGUUUAACAAAUUAUUAAUCUCUAUCUAAAAAUGAUUUACGCUCCUGCAAGAUGGUUGAUGCAUCAAUCACUCCCAUCUUGGAUAUCUAUCUUUACCAAAUGCUUCCCAGACAGCUUCAGCAAGCACGUAAACAGACGACUUUAUGUGAAUCUGUAUACCAAAAUUUACAAGUUUUGAGAAGGAUAUAUCAUUAGGAAAAGAGGAAAAAUUUUAGGAUUUGUGCCCUAUUUAUAAUUUUCAUGAUGACAAAAUUACGUAGUGUUGGGGAAGGGCGAAACGUGCGAGUGUAGGACAGAAAGCUAAGUUCAACCAUCGAUAUGGGCUGGAGAAGCAGGGAACUCCAGCAAAAAUGAAAUAUGAAAUAUGAAAUAUGAAAUGUGAAUGGUAUGCUAAUGUUGGGUGUUUGUGGUUCGAUUUAAGCCUCACUGUUAGUUAAUUGAUCUUAGAACUUCCCCUUUUUGAUAACAUAGUGGUUUGACGAUCAUUCAGUCGAGGCUUUGCCGCUUUAAUGUAGCUUAUACGAGUUGUUCAUUUUUCAAAUUUUCCUUCUUUCUUUUACUAUGAUGCAUGCGGAGCGUUUGAUACAUUGGUUGGAAUAUAUUUCAUUGAUUUGUGGAUGAUCAUGUCUAUUGGCAGUUUGAGGAUAACUACUAAUACAGUUCAAUCAAGACCCACGAUUGAUCAACCUGUUCUGUCAUCUUAAAACUUCCCCUUUUUGAGAAGGUUGUUUGACUACCAUUCUUUGUUGCUUUAGUAUAAGCUUUUUCUUCAUUGGAUGUUCAUGUAGUUGAAUAUUAUUAUGUUUGCAAGAUCAUGUUUAAUCCGGACUUGAUGUGAACUAGGGGAUAAUACUACUGGGUUUUAUGUGCAAUCCGAAUGACGCUAGGACAAAUAUUUUCUUUCAAUUUCGAGACAAAAAACAAACUUUGUGCUUGGGUCACGUGGAACAGUUGUUAUGAGAGUGAGAAAGUGAAAUUAAAAGAAAGAUAAAGGACGGGAGAGAGAGAGAAGAAAAUAAAUAAAAAAAACUCAUUUGGACUUGUAAAUUGUUCAAAACAUACUCGAAUUUGUCUUAAUAACUCCCUUUUAUCACAAUCAUAGUGAUGAUGGGAAAGCAUAGAUUCAAUUUCUAAUGAUGUUGACAGCCAUUAGGUGGGGGUAAAAUCUAAGCCAUACAUUAUCCUAGCUAAUUUUCUCUCUCAACACAGAAUUUCUCUGCCUUCUCUCUAAAGUAAGGCUUCUUCUCCGCUAAGCUUGCUCCCCUCUUUUAUCCGUCAGCUGCUUUUUGUUUUCCAUUUUUCCGCAAAAUAAGUUGGUCCCUUACCUCCUUUUUCCUUAAUUCCGACCAUCGUGGAAAGGAUGUCUCCGUCUCUUUUUUUUCUGGUUUGGAUCUCGCCAGUGACAGCUAUGAUUUCCAUGCUUGUUGACGUUGCCGCCGCUAGUUUCCACAUUGGCCGGAGUAACAUCGCUCAUUGAGUUUCGUCGCACCAGAGGUGGUUUGAGGUCUUUUGGCCAGAAGUUAUCCUCCACCGCCUUUCCGUUGAUUAGCUCCCAAAUUGGUCAACGGCAUCUUUUUUUUGUUCCAACCAUGGCAUGGUCUUUCCGAAAAUGCUAAUGCUGUCAAAACAGAUGCAUCCCCUUGCCUCAACCAUUAUUUCUCAAAUCCCUGAAUUUAUUAGAUUACUAUUUUAAUAAUAAAUUUGAAAUUCUUAAAACUUUUUUGUUUCUAUAUAUAUAUAUAUUUUCUAAUAUACGUUAUAUUAAAUCUCAACUAAUUUCAUUUCAUCUAUAACAUAAACAUCUCAUUCUUACAAUUUACAUAAUAAAUAAGCCUAAACAUAAAUUCUUAGGCCUUUUUUGUGGACCUUCCUUUUUAUGUUUAUAUAUGAUCUGUUUAUUUUGUAAGGCUUUGGUUUUAGCUGAAUUGAGACUAAGCUUUGGGCUUUUUCAUGUUUGUAUCUGAUCUAUCUCUAUAAUGAAAUCUUUCGGAAAGGUGGGAGAGGAUUUCAGCAUUGCCCAGAGAAUUCCAAAAUAACUCAAAGUUGAACUGGUGAGUUGCCUAAUCCUAACUGAAGAUUUGUUGAAAUUGGACAGGGCAUGUGAGAUACCCGCUUGUAAAGAAAAAUAAUAAAGGCUUCUGUUGGACACCAGAGGUGGUCGUUUUGGACUCAAUUCAUUCUAUGUUCUCGCAAUCUGUUUGUUGCUUGUACUGUACCCACUUUCUGUUGCAUAUUUUCCGUAAGAGGUAUAGUGACAUCAUGAAGAUACACUNNNNNNNNNNNNNNNNNNNNNNNNNNNNNNNNNNNNNNNNNNNNNNNNNNNNNNNNNNNNNNNNNNNNNNNNNNNNNNNNCCAUGUAUAUGCAACAUACCCAGAAUUUGCUUUACACCUUUUGAACAACUACAUUCAAGCCCAAUAGUCGGUUAGUACAGAAGUCAUUACCCCAUUCUCUUUUUUCCCAAAAUAUUACCCUAUUGUUGAGUUUCACUCGUGAACUUGACUUCUAAUCCCAACACUGCAGGCAGCAAAUCAAAGGGAUUGAGAGUAGUUUCCCUUCAAAAUAAAUUAGUCAUACUUAACAACAGUGCCAAUGCGUCUUGAAAACGUUAUAAUCACCUAGAACUGCUGUAGUUAUAUAUCAUUAGUAGAAAAUAUCCACCCACAGAACGGUCAAAGACAAACUCCCAAUAGCUGACCAAAAGUUCCAGAAUACAUGCAAGGCUUUGCUUCAUGACACCUACCUUGCAAAUUCGGUCAACAGAAACAUCAAGGCGAAGCACAAGCAAAAGAUGAAUAACAUUGUUGCCAGUCACUGGUCAUCACAAGGGCCAAUAGAGGUGAAAGUGCAACAUCAGACUUCAACGCGACCUCUGUGCCAACACCUUAUAAAAACAUUGAUAUCAAAGUUGGCAGGAAUCACAACUGUCGCAGAUGAACUACAAUUACAGUUCAUAAAUUAAAUAGGAUUAGAAUUCAACAUCAACCCCAGUCAUGCAAGGAAAAAGGGUUCAGUAUCAAAUUUUAGUGAUCACUUUAAUUGGGAAACAAAAUAAAACUGAAAGAAAAAGGCAAGAAAGAUUUGCACUAAAAACCAAUUUGGGCACCAAUUUCUAAUGCCUACGCAGCAUAGAAUUUAAGUUUCCAACAGUUGUAAUAUCUACAAAGGGGAAGGUGAUCUGAAUCAAAAACUAAUUCAAGGAACAAUGGCUUGAAAACACUGAACAGUUAUUUAGGAUACAAUUGAUAGAGUAAGAUGUGGGGGUCAGAGACUAUAAACAUCAAAUGGCUCACUUACCACCCAUCCUCUAAGAGCACACAGGGUAAAUGACCUCUGGGGGUUAGCCAAUUCCCAUCCUUGAAUACCUAGAAACAAAAUAAAUAUAAUUUGUCACAGAAAAUCCAUAAUUCUAAUAAUAUUGUUUGGCUCAAGAGUGUGUUAGUGACAGAAUGCAAGAAAAAGAAAAAAGGGCGUUGCCAAAAGAAACUGAAAAGAACACAAAUGACUUACAUGCCUUGAGUUGAGUCAUCAGAUGUGACAUUUAAGGUUUCUUGAUUCCUACUGCCAUGAAGAUUGCUUGUAUCCAUUCCAUCCUCCCUCAGGUUCCUUCCUUUUCAAAAUGCUACCAGGAACCUGAUAGAUUCUUGCUUGCUCCUCUGCCUGGACUUGUGAACUGGCAACAGACAGUUGCCUUGAUGCAAGAGGUGCCGACUCAUCUCUUCCUUCAAUGUCUGGAACUCCAGGCCCAGCAUUUAAGUCUAGACCUUGCCUUCCCCAAUGCCUACCGUUCUCAGCACCACUACUAUUGCUACCAUAAGGAAGGCUAACAACAUAGGGCCUCGGGUAAUGGGAUGGAACAGCACCAGCAGGUCGUAACAAUUGCGAAUGAACUGGAGGAAAACAAAACCUCCCACCAGGAGAUGAAUCAACAUAAGUAGUUGAGCUGACAGAAAAGCUAGUAGAAGGAAGAGGAAAUGUUGUUCCAAAGGGGAAAACAGGAUAUUGGAAAGGAGUUGAUGGAAAUGGCACUGCUGGUGAAGAUGACAACAUUGGUUCCCUAUAGACAUCAGGAUUAAAAGGGGUGGCACCAAUAGGUGGGCCCAACACCCUAUGUGGCCCACCAGUUGCAACAAUUGGAAAAGGCUGCUCUCUAUCAGGUAAGAUCGAUUGUAUUGCAAUAGAUGAGUAUGUAUUCUCAGUAGGAAACCAUGAUGAGAAAUUUGCCACCUCAGUACUGUUCAUCCGGAGGCUGGAAGCUGAUGGUUGAGAUGGGGCAUAGCUGCUUCUAGCAUUAUGGCUAAAUAGUGAUGGUUCAGUGCUUACCUCAUCAACAGCAGGACCAUUAUUCAAAUCGAAGUCCCUAUGGACGGUUACUUCACUAUUAAGAAUCCCAGACAAUGAUUUUAUAGGCUGCAUAGGGACAUCCAGUCUACGACUAUACCCAGUUGAGUGAUUACCCAAAUCAGCAGGCUCAUCAACUCUAUUCAAAUCAAGAUCAAGUCCCCCAGAGGACCGAGU